GUGCUAAGGUAGCAUAAUAAUUUGUUUUUUAAUUGGAAGCUGGAAUGAACGGUUGAGCUGGUUUAAUAAGUUUGUAUAUUUAAAUAGAAAGUUAAAGUCAAGGUAAGAAUUCUUUGAUUAUUUAGGGGACGAUAAGACCCUAUAAGCUUUAUAAAUAUAUAAAUGAUUUUGUUUUUUGAAUUAAUUUAUUUUACUGGGGCGGUACUGGUGUAUUAACUACUAGUUAACUCAAGAUCCUAAAAAUAUGGAUGGCGUGCAAAAGUUACUUUAGGGAUAACAGUGCAAUAUUUUUGGAGAGGCCUUAUCGAUGAAUAUGUUUGCAACCUCGAUGUUGAAUUA
rnacentral:rRNA from 1 species